rnacentral:rRNA from 1 species
UACGUAGGGGGCAAGCGUUGUCCGGAUUCAUUGGGCGUAAAGGGCUCGUAGGCGGCCAACUAAGUCAGACGUGAAAUCCCUCGGCUUAACCGGGGAACUGCGUCUGAUACUGGAUGGCUUGAGUUUGGGAGAGGGAUGCGGAAUUCCAGGUGUAGCGGUGAAAUGCGUAGAUAUCUGGAGGAACACCGGUGGCGAAGGCGGCAUCCUGGACCAACACUGACGCUGAUGAGCGAAAGCCAGGGGAGCAAACGGGAAUUAGAUACCGUA